rnacentral:rRNA from 1 species
UUAAAUUGAAGAGUUUGAUCAUGGCUCAGAUUGAACGCUGGCGGCAGGCCUAACACAUGCAAGUCGAGCGGUAGCACAGAGAGCUUGCUCUCGGGUGACGAGCGGCGGACGGGUG